rnacentral:rRNA from 1 species
CCAAUAGCGUAUAUUAGUGUUGUUGCGGUUAAAAAGCUCGUAGUUGAAUUUCGGGAUUGGGAUACAUCGGUCGUGCCUUUUGGGGCAUGAAUCGGUGUGUGGUCAAUUCUCACCUUCUGGUAAAUCGGGAUGCUCUCGGGUGUUUCGAUGAACUAGGACCUUUACUUUGAAAAAAUUAGAGUGUUUAAAGCGGGCAUUUUUGCUUGAAUACAUUAGCAUGGAAUAAUAAAAUAGGACGAUGGUUCUAUUUUGUUGGUUUUAGGACCACGUAAUGAUUAAUAGGGAUAGUUGGGGGCAUUAGUAUUCAAUUGUCAGAGGUGAAAUUCUUGGAUUAAUUGAGGACUAACUACUGCGAAAGCAUUUGCCAAGGAUGUUUUCAUUAAUCAAGAACGAAAGUUAGGGGAUCGAAGACGAUUUAUGUACGUCGUAGUCUUAACCAUAAACUAUGCCGACUAGGAAUCAGACAAAGUUCAUUUUUUAACGACUUGUUUGGUACCUUACG